UACGUAGGGGGCAAGCGUUGUCCGGAAUCAUUGGGCGUAAAGCGCGUGUAGGCGGCUUGGUAAGUCCGCUCUGAAAGCCCGGGGCUCAACCCCGGGAGGCGGGUGGAUACUGUCAAGCUCGAGUCCGGAAGAGGCGAGUGGAAUUCCUGGUGUAGCGGUGAAAUGCGCAGAUAUCAGGAGGAACACCAAUGGCGAAGGCAGCUCGCUGGGACGUGACUGACGCUGAGGCGCGAAAGCGUGGGGAGCAAACGGG
rnacentral:rRNA from 1 species